rnacentral:misc_RNA from 1 species
GAUUAUUCCCCGGCGGAUCCGGUCUGAUUUACACGGGGGGUGGCGUCAUCAGAGUCCCGGCGCACCGACCGCCCGGUACCAGCGGUGGACCGACGACCUCCUUACCUUCCCAGGCUCUGAUACCACCGUGGAGUUUGCAGGCCAUACAGCACAGUCAACAACAAGCCGCCGCCGCGGGACUUCACCGGGCUAGUUUAUUGGCGAAUCUCGCCGUUCACCCCCUUCACGCCCAUCCACAUCUCAAGGACAGAUUAGCAGUGGCCGGUGCCUUCCCCCGGAGGAUCGGACACCCUUACCAGAAUAGAACACCGCCGAAACGGAAGAAACCAAGAACGAGUUUUACUAGAUUACAAAUAGCUGAAUUAGAAAAACGGUUUCACAAGCAAAAAUAUUUGGCAUCGGCUGAGAGGGCGGCCUUAGCUAAAUCUCUCAAGAUGACGGACGCGCAAGUCAAAACGUGGUUUCAAAACAGAAGGACAAAAUGGCGAAGACAAACUGCCGAAGAGCGAGAGGCUGAGAGACAAGCAGCGAAUCGUUUGAUGCUUUCGCUGCAGGCGGAAGCUCUGGGAAAAGUUGGAUAUCCGUCGUCCGUACCGCAACAUUCUGCAGGUCCAGCGCCAAAUUCAGAUGUCCAGCAGUCCUCGCAGCCGAGUAUCGGUCACCCUAUGCCGCAGUGGGCAUCGCCAUACGGCCCACCGCAGCCCUUAACCGAACCAAUUUGUUAAAUUGAAUGAACAGGAAUAUAAUCGAAGUGAACGAUGAAAACAAAAAUUAAUUAGAUUAAUCAAUUAAUCAAUUGGAUACGGAAGUUGAUGAGGUGAUAUGUGCAAUACUCACAUAUUGUAUGUGUAUAAAUUAUAUGAUAAACGUACGAGGAGGAAUAACGAAAAACGUAUAAACAUUAUGAAAAUCGGCUGCGCACGAGCUGACGUGUAAAUAUAAAACGGUAAACGAAAAAUUUGUGUUCUUAUGUACAAUUAGGUUGAUUAUCACACAAAAAUUUUGCGUAAAUAUAUAAAUAUAUACAUAUAUAAAUAUAUUCGCGAGACGCACGAGGAUUUUCAUGUACAUGUAUAACUCAUGAAAGUUAUAAAAUCGUACACCGUUUUCUUUUCUUUUUUAAUUUAUUCAAAUCAAGAACGGAACAUUUUUUUAUAUAAAUAAAAUCUACGAAUAAUUAUGCAGUCGAAAUCGCCGCGGAUGACAUUAAAUACAAUUAUAACGUAUAGUAAUUAUGGAACGUGUAAAUAUUUAAUUGCUUCACUUCGAUUUAUAUACCUACUUUAUAUGUACCGAAUAAUAAUUAAUCGAUCA